UAGUAAAUGGCUUAAUUGGAAGAUCGCCAGUGUUCUUUUAUCAUUUAACUCCGCGUGCCUGGGUUCGAAUCCCAGUUCACUAA